ensembl:lncRNA
UGGGGUUGCAAAGAGUCGGACAUGACUGAGUGACUGAACUGAACUGAGUUAGAGGUUAAAGUCAUAACUUUACUUUCUAUGAUGGUCAGUUAUUUUUCUGUAAAAGGUGAACGUGCUGUGGACUAAAACCCAAUUCAGCUGUCUUACGGUUUUGUCACUGAUUUUGAGGGAGUGGAUGAGUGGUGUGGUGCCACUUGUCAUCACAACAGAAAACCCUUGAAGGAAUAAUGUCAGUGCCAGGUUAGUGUAGUAUUUGCUAUAUGCAGACUGGUUUGAAUACUUCAUUAAUAAUUUAACAUAACAGUCACAACAAUCACAUCAGAUAAAGUUGUUAUCACCAUUUUCCAUGUGAGGAAACAGAGGCACAGAGAGGUUUACUGUUAUGGUUCACCCUAGUAACUUGCCCAAGGUAACCCAUUCUAAGAUGCCAUCUGUUGUCAGAAGCAUCAUUAUUUUGUUUAUUGCUAAGGAAGGAAAAACACCAGGAUACUACUAAGAUAAGUUGCAGUCAGACUGCAAUCUAGUGUAUUUCAGGGAGACUUAGCCAGAAAUCCUCUCUUAAGAAAAACCACUUAGAGCAGCGCUUUAUUGGAUCAAUUGCUUUGUUGUUUGCAUGUGGUCCCAGGUAUUGUGGAGAUUUUUGUGUAGGGUGGCCACAGCCUGAUUCGUGCCCAGUUGCAUUCUUCCUCUUCUUCUCAAUGAAAGCACAAAUGAAAUGGGAGGUGUCUGGCUUGGUUGACUGAGGCGAGUUGGAAUGAGUUGCUUUACUCUUGGACGUAUGUUGAAAUAGUCAUUUUCAGAGUGUAAAAUAGAGUUGUUUUUUGAGGGGAGUGAUUUUNNNNNNNNNNNNNNNNNNNNNNNNNNNNNNNNNNNNNNNNNNNNNNNNNNNNNNNNNNNNNNNNNNNNNNNNNNNNNNNNNNNNNNNNNNNNNNNNNNNGUAAAAUAGAGUUGUUUUUUGAGGGGAGUGAUUUUUUGUGAUUGGAUGACUUAAGGUUACAAAGGACCGUGUUAUGUUGGUUACCUUUUAGUUUAACAGAUGAGAGUAUAACAUUUAAAUAUCUAUUUUCCCCCCUCCCCAUAUGUUUUUCUGCAGGUUCACAUUGAACUUGAGCUGUGGAAUGAGUUUAAGAACCAUGUCUUGUUCAAGUGUGAAAAGAUACACACAUUAAAAUAUCUAAGAGUAUUUUUAAAAGUCAUUGGUUUUACCUGUACAACUAUCUGGUUAGUAUUGUUCAGCAACUAAUUCUCCUUCCUUGUAUAUUAUUCCCAAUCUCCUUCACCAUCAAAAUAAUGAAAACCAAACUAACUCUGCCUCUCUUCCCCUGAAAAAACCCCGAUGUAUGUAUUUCUUAGUGUUAUUAGUGAAUUGUGUUCUGUUUUUCAAAGACCAGAGUAUACUUACAGAAAAUUGUAAGUUCUAUUCUGGUUGACUUAAAUGUGAGGUUUGCCAUGGUUGGUUUGAUCAUAAGGUUAACUGAGGACUAGCUUCUGUCUGCCCAGAAACCAAGGCUUGCCUUGUGUUUUCACCGAGGGGACCUGGUGAGCCUCUGCCCCGGAGCUUGGCUGUGCUUGUCCCUCUUCAGCAGUUUCAUCUAGUGACCAGGAAAUACUCCCUGAUGGCCUUCUUUAUGUCUGAAAAGGUUAAUUAAAAUUUUGGGAUUGGUUGAACAUUCCAUUCACUUGAACUCAGGGUAUUUCUGUGCUAUUCCACACAUAUACACACACACUUACUGAAGGCUGCGCAUCCUGUUUUACUGGCACAGAAGCUUCUGGGCUUGGGACUUGUCUGCUUUCAGACUUAGCGUGCACGUGCGGGAGCAGGAUGGUAAGAUGGGUAGGGUAAGACUUGGCUAGUCUGAUCUUAGGUGGUCCCAUGAAGUCUUCGUGGUGUCAUGCACUUCUGCUUUCUGAGUGUUCUGAGCCGCCAAUUCUGUUUAAAUAUCUAAAGGUUUAUCUUUCUCACUUGACAUAGUUGAAUGUGGUUCUGCAUUUAAUAAGAGCACUUGUGUGCAUUGAUUGACUUUGCUCGAAUAGGCAUUUUGUAGUGGACAGUUGAUAGUUAAGAACCAAGUUUACUUAAAAAAUGGAAACCUAAGGGAAUAAGUGAGCUUUAAAGUUGCAUUAAAAACCUGGUGUUCCCUG